rnacentral:rRNA from 1 species
UACGGGGGGAGCAAGCGUUGUUCGGAUUUACUGGGCGUAAAGGGCGCGUAGGCGGCCAGCACAAGUCAGUUGUGAAAUCUCCGGGCUUAACUCGGAAAGGUCAACUGAUACUGUGCGGCUAGAGUGCGGAGGGGGCAACUGGAAUUCUCGGUGUAGCGGUGAAAUGCGUAGAUAUCGAGAGGAACACCUGCGGCGAAGGCGGGUUGCUGGGCCGACACUGACGCUGAGGCGCGAAAGCCAGGGGAGCGAACGGG